GACGAACGCUGGCGGCGUGCCUAAUACAUGCAAGUCGAGCGGAUGGAAGGAAGCUUGCUUCCUAAAGUCAGCGGCGGACGGGUGAGUAACACGUGGGCAACCUGCCCCUAAGAUCGGGAUAACUUCGGGAAACCGGAGCUAAUACCGGAUAUGAUUAUGUCUCACAUGAGAUGUAAUGGAAAGACGGUUUCGGCUGUCACUUAGGGAUGGGCCCGCGGCGCAUGAGCUAGUUGGUGAGGUAACGGCUCACCAAGGCGACGAUGCGUAGCCGACCUGAGAGGGUGAUCAGCCACACUGGGACUGAGACACGGCCCAGACUCCUACGGGAGGCAGCAGUAGGGAAUCUUCCGCAAUGGACGAAAGUCUGACGGAGCAACGCCGCGUGAGUGAAGAAGGUUUUCGGAUCGUAAAACCCUGUUGUUAGGGAAGAACAAGUACCAUAGUAACUGAUGGUACCUUGACGGUACCUAACCAGAAAGCCACGGCUAACUACGUGCCAGCCGCCGCCGUAA
rnacentral:rRNA from 1 species